AGACAGCAGAGGAGCCUGCAAGCCCUUGUUUACUGCAGCGCUCUUCAGAACAGCCAUUGUGGAAUCAGCUCAUCAGCGGGUGAACGGAUGAAGAAAAUGUAGCACCUAUACAGAAUGUUGUUUAUCCAUUAAGGAGAAUGCAAGAGUGUCGCUUCCAGGAAAAUGGAUGGCACUAGGAGCGAUCACGUUGAAUGUAAUAAGCCAGAGUUGUAAGACAGGGACGGCCUACCAGGAGCCUGCUUUCAAAUCCAAGGAUGCUCCAAGGAUGAUGCUACUAACGGGAUGACGAUGAUGAUGAUGAUGUAAACAUGGCAAGAUGAGAAGUUAGAGAAUCUGUGUGGAAGAAUUCAAGGAACGCUUCCACACUGUCG
rnacentral:lncRNA from 1 species